GGCGAACGGGUGCGUAACACGUGGACAACAUUCCGGGAAGCGGGGGAUAGCCCAGGGAAACUUGGAUUAAUACCGCAUGUGGACGAGUGAGGCAUCUCACGAAGUCUAAAGGUGGGGACCGCAAGGCCUGCCACUUCCCGAUUGGUCCGCGGCCUAUCAGCUAGUUGGUGAGGUAAAGGCUCACCAAGGCUACGACGGGUAGCUGGUCUUAGAGGACGACCAGCCACACUGGGACUGAGACACGGCCCAGACACCUACGGGUGGCAGCAGUCGAGAAUCUUUCACAAUGGGGGAAACCCUGAUGGAGCGACGCCGCGUGGAGGAUAAGGUCUUCGGAUUGUAAACUCCUGUCAUGCGAGAGCAAGAUUGGUCAUUUAAUAGGUGAUUAAUUUGAUAGUAUCGCAAGAGGAAGAGACGGCUAACUCUGUGCCAGCAGCCGCGGUAAUACAGAGGUCUCAAGCGUUGUUCGGAAUCACUGGGCGUAAAGGGUGCGUAGGUGGCGUGGUAAGUCAGAUGUGAAAGCCCAGGCUCAAC
rnacentral:rRNA from 1 species